rnacentral:rRNA from 1 species
CGUUGAUAGGCUGCAGGUGUAAAGCCAGUAAUGGCAAAGCCGAGCAGUACUAAUUACCCGUAAGCUUUCUUC